GGGUCAGUAGGUUGGUCGUGCCACCGGUACGUACUGGUCUCACUGAUUCCUCCUUCCUGAAGAGCCGUAAUGCCAUUAAUUUGGUGUUGCGGGGAAACAGGACUGUUACUUUGAAAAAAUUAGAGUGUUUAAAGCAAGCUAACGCUUGAAUACAUUAGCAUGGAAUAAUGAAAUAGGACGAUCGACCCUAUUUUGUUGGUUUCUAGGAUUGACGUA
rnacentral:rRNA from 1 species